rnacentral:tRNA from 1 species
UACAUACUAGCCAAACGGUAAGGCAAAGGAUUUAGGUUCCUUUAUUUCCGGGUUCGAUUCCUGGGUAUAAAC